GGAAGUGUCAAUUCAAGUCACCUUUAUUUAUAUAGCACUUUAAACAAAAUACAUUGCGUCAAAGCAACUGAACAACAUUCAUUAGGAAAACAGUGUGUCAAUAAUGCAAAAUGAUAGUUAAAUGCAGUUCAUCAUUGAAUUCAGUGAUGCCAUCUCUGUUCAGUUAAAUAGUGUCUGUGCAUUUAUUUGCAAUCAAGUCAUCGAUAUCGCUGUAGAUGAAGUGACCCCAACUAAGCAAGCCAGAGGCGACAGCGGCAAGGAAACGAAACCCCAUCGGUGACAGAAUGGAGAAAAAAACCUUGGGAGAAACCAGGCUCAGUUGGGGGGCCAGUUCUCCUCUGACCAGACGAAACCAGUAGUUUAAUUCCAGGCUGGAUUUGGAUAUUAAAAGCAUAUUAGUAUGUUAUGUGUAAACCAGGUUAAAGAGAUGGGUCUUUAAUCUAGAUUUAAACUGCAAGAGUGUGUCUGCCUCCCGAACAAUGUUAGGUAGGUUAUUCCAGAGUUUAGGCGCCAAAUAGGAAAAGGAUCUGCCGCCCGCAGUUGAUUUUGAUAUUCUGGAAUGGCAAAUUGCCUGAGUUUUGAGAACGUAGCGGACGUAGAGCAGUAUAAUGUAAUAAAGGAGCUCAUUCAAAUUCUGAGGUGCUAAACCAUUCAGGGCUUCAUAAGUAAUAAGCAAUAUUUUAAAAUCUAUAUGAUGUUUGAUAGGGAGCCAGUGCAGCAAUGACAGGACCAGGCUAAUAUGGUCAUACUUCCUGGUUCUAGUAAGAACUCUUGCUGCUGCAUUUUGGACUAGCUGUAGUUUGUUUACUAAGCGUGCAGAACAACCACCCAAUAAAGCAUUACAAUAAUCUAACCUUGAGGUCAUAAAUGCAUGGAUUAACAUUUCUGCAUUUGACAUUGAGAGCAUAGGCCGUAAUUUAGAUAUAUUUUUGAGAUGGAAAAAUGCAGUUUUACAAAUGCUAGAAACAUGGCUUUCUAAGGAAAGAUUGCGAUCAAAUAGCACACCUAGGUUCCUAACUGAUGACCAGCACUUUUAAAUUUGCCAAGAUGUCAGGCGCUCUGGCUCCCGGUAAACAUUUGACUAUGGUGGCUGGUGUCUCUAUAUUCACGUUCCGUACAAUAGAAUCACCAAUAACUAGAGCACUUUCAUCAGGUUUCUCAGUGGGUGCAUCACUGAGUGGGGAGAACCUGUUUAAUGUUUUGAUCGGAACAGAAGAGUGGUGUUUUGACCCACGAAUACGCUGCCUCACUGUCACCCAGUUGCCCUGCUGCAGGGGCUCUGCUGGAACCGGACAAUGUACAGGAAUCCCUGAGCUAGACGCAUCCAAAGCCGUAUCUAGAGCCAUAACAUUCUUACUGUCCUCAAUUAAAGUUUGGAUUCGUGUCUCUAAUUCUGAAAGCUUCUCUGUCAGCCUAACUAUUUCCCUGCAUUUAUCAUAUGUGAAUCCCUCAUCAGCGACAGAGAUAGAUAAACUGUAAAUGUGGCAAGAGGUGCAAAUAACAAUAGCAGGAGAAGCCAUUUCUCACAGUGCUUGAGGAAAUAUUCUUACUGCAGUUGUUUGAUGAACUUGUGAAAAACUGGAGCGAUAGAGAGGAGAAAAGAAAAGGCUAAUGACAAGCUAACGAGUGCUAACACUUUGCAGGUGUACUGCACUCACAGAAAAGUGAACGAUCAAAGUUAAUCUGAUAAGAUUGAUAAUAUCAGAAAUAUGGCGUGAAUUAAGUUAUAUUUUACCACUUUAAAAAAAAACAAAAAACAAAACACUGAUCGUAAGAUAAAGAUUCUAGAGAAAAAAUAAAAUGAAAACAGCUACACGGAGCUACGAUUAGCUACAGAAGGCCAACAGGAAGUAGAGAAAACACUGUCCAACAGCGACACCCGAUGUCAGACGCUGUAAUAUGCUCUGGUCCCCUCCCUGCUUACCGUGGUGACGAGAUGCAUAGCAGAUUGUCAUCACUCAAUGGCUGGAUGUCUAAGUGGUGCCCACAGAAUAACAUAGGUUUCAUAGACAAUUGGACAAGCUUUUGGGGCAGACCUGACCUGUUGAAAAGAGAUGGUCUUCAUCCCUCUUGGGGUGGCGCCACUCUUCUCUCGAGAAAUAUGGCAAAUAGUCUUAGUGUUUAUACUUGACUAACUGGGGCCCAAGUCAGGAAGCAGACAGACUGGCUAAACUGACCAACUGCUAGCUGCCUCACGUCACAGAGGUCAGCUAUUUCUUAGCACAUAGAGACUCUUUCACCUAGAUAUCACACUAUAGAGACUUGUGUCUGUUCCCCUAACUAGAAAUACAAAAAACGUCCAAACCUAGUUAAGAUUAACAACUUAAUUGAGGUUCAACAAAUACAAAACAGAUGCAAUAUGAAUAAACAAAUGAUAAAGUUUGGCUUAUUGAAUAUCAGAUCCCUUUCUACGAAAACACUUUUUAUAAAUAAUAUGAUCACUGAUCAUAAACUAGAUGUGCUCUGUUUGACAGAAACCUGGCUAAAACCUUAUUACAUUAUUUUAAAUGAGUCCACCCCCCAAGAUUACUGUUAUAAACAUUUGCCACGUCUAAAAGGCAAAGGGGGAGGUGUUGCUUCAAUUUAUAACAACGUUUUCAGGAUUUCUCAGAGGGCAGGCUUCAAGUAUAACUCGUUUGAAGUAAUGGUGCUUCAUAUAACAUUAUCCAGAGAAACAAAUGUUAAUGAUAAAUCCCGUUAUGUUUAUACUGGCUACUGUAUACAGGCCACCAGGGCACCAUACAGACUUUAUUAAAGAGUUUGGUGAUUUUACAUCCGAGUUAGUUCUGGCUGCAGAUAAAGUUUUAAUAGUUGGUGAUUUUAAUGUCCAUGUUGAUAAUGAAAAGAUGCAUUGGGAUCAGCAUUUAUAUUUUGAACUCUGUUGGGGUUAGACAACACGUUUCAGGACCUAUUCAUUGUCGAAAUCAUACUCUAGAUUUAAUAUGGUCACAUGGAAUUGAUGUUGACAGUGUUGAAAUUAUGCAGCAAGGUGAUGAUAUCUCAGAUCAUUAUUAAGUUUAGUGCAAACUUCAUAUAGCCAAAAUUGUAAAUUCUACUUCUUGUUACAAGUAUGGAAGAACCAUCACUUCUACCACAAAAGACUGCUUUUUAAGUUACCGUCCUGAUGUAACCCAAAUUACUAAGCAUAUCCAAAACCUCAGAAAAACUUGAUGAUGUAACAGAAACUACGGACUCUCUCUUUUCUAGCAUUUUAAAUACAGUUGCUCCUUUACGCUUAAGGAAGGUUAAGGAAACCAGUAUGACACCAUGGUAUAAUGAGCACACUCGCACCCUAAAGAGAGCAGCCUGAAAAAUGGAACGCAGCUGGAGGAAAACAAAACUAGAGAUAUUUUGUAUUGCUUGGCAGGAAAGUAACCUAUCCUACAGAAAAGCAUUACAAACUGCUAGAUCCGAUUACUUUUCUUUUCUUUUAGAAGAAAACAAACAUAACCCCAGGUAUUUAUUCAAUACAGUAGCUAAAUUAACGAAAAAUAAAGCCUCAACAAGUGUUGACGUUUCCCAACAUCACAGCAGUAAUGAAUUUAUGAACUACUUUACUUCUAAAAUCGAUACUAUUAAAUUUAAAUUUAAUUCAAUUUACUAUUAGAGAUAAAAUUGCAACCAUUCAGCCGUCAUCUACAGCAUUGCAUCAGACAGGAUCAAAAAAUAUAUCUAAAAAACAGCCUUUGCUCUCAAUGUCAAAUGCAGAAAUGUUAAUCCAUGCAUUUAUGACCUCAAGGUUAGAUUAUUGUAAUGCUUUAUUGGGUGGUUGUUCUGCACGCUUAGUAAACAAACUACAGCUAGUCCAAAAUGCAGCAGCAAGAGUUAUUACUAGAACCAGGAAGUAUGACCAUAUUAGCCCGGUCCUGUCAACACUGCACUGGCUCCCUAUCAAACAUCGUAUAGAUUUUAAAAUAUUGCUUAUUACUUAUAAAGCCCUGAAUGGUUUAGCACCUCAGUAUUUGAAUGAGCUCCUUUUACAUUAUAAUCCUCUACGUCCGCUACGUUCUCAAAACUCAGGCAAUUUGAUAAUACCUAGAAUAUCAAAAAUCAACUGCGGGCGGCAGAUCCUUUUCCUAUUUGGUGCCUAAACUCUGGAAUAACCUGCCUAACAUUGUUCGGGAGGCAGACACACUCUUGCAGUUUAAAUCUAGUUUAAAGACCCAUCUCUUUAACUUGGCUUACACAUAACAUACUAAUAUGCUUUUAAUAUCCAAAUCCGUUAAAGGAUUUUUUUUAGGCUGCAUUACUUAAGUAAACCGGAACUGGGAACACUUCCCAUAACGCCCGAUGUACUUGCUACAUCAUUAGAAGAAUGGCAUCUACGCUAAUAUUAGUCUGUUUCUCUCUUAUUCCGAGGUCAACGGUAGCCACCAGAUCCAGUCUGUAUCCAGAUCAGAGGGUCACUGCAGUCACCCGGAUCCAGUACGUAUCCAGACCAGAUGGUGAAUCAGCACCUAGAAAGGACCUCUACAUCCCCGAAAGACAGCGGAGACCAGGACAACUAGAGCCCCAGAUACAGAUCCCCUGUAAAGACCUUGUCUCAGAUGACCACCAGGACAAGAACACAGGAAACAGAUGAUUCUUCUGCACAAUCUGACUUUGCUUCAGCCUGGAAUUGAACUACUGGUUUUGUCUGGUUAGAGGAGAACUGUCCCCCCCAACUGAGCCUGGUUUCUCCCAAGGUUUUUUUUUCUCCAUUCUGUCGCCUCUGGCUUGCUUAGUUGGGGUCACUUCAUCUACAGCGAUAUCGUUGACUUGAUUGCAAAUAAAUGCACAGACACUAUUUAAACUGAACAGACAUGACAUCACUGAAUUCAAUGAUGAACUGCCUUUAACUGUCAUUUUGCAUUAUUUACACACUUUUUUGCUAAUGAAUGUUGUUCAGUUGCUUUGACGUAAUGUAUUUUGUUUAAAGCACUAUAUAAAUAAAGGUCACUUGACUUAA